GUGGCGCAUGACGUGAUGUCAUUCUGCUGACGAAAAUCGUGGUGACAGGACGCCCAUCAUCCCGCUCGAGAUGCUGAAUUUCAAUCGUGAAUAUUAUAAUCGUGUUGGAAUAUUGCGUCGUCACUUAACCUUUAUAAACAACCUCGUAGCAUGACUCAUGGGAACGUUUCGACGUAAAUUUAAGCAGGAAAAUAGCUGUUCAUUUUCGAGCAAAGAAGAAAAAUUGAAGAAAUAUGAAGAUAAAAUAGUUUUCUUUUUCUCAUCUAUCGCGUGUGCGACUGCGCGCAAUGCAGUUAGUAGAAAUAUUGUUUUUUAAUAGUAUUUAUAACAAUUUUCAGAACAAGUUUUCAAAAUUGAAAGUAGUUUUUUCUAAUUUUAUGUAAGUUUAAUUGCAAGUGCUCAUACAUGAAAUUAGAAAUAUUUGCCAAAUAUUUGAACAUGUAAUUUGAAUGAAUAUGUUAGAAAUUUUUUUUUUCUUACAUAAUGUGAAUUCGUUUUUAAUAUUCUUUGCAACAUAGAGUCAGUGCUCCUCUCAAGAAGAUCCAACGAUGUUCCUAGCUUCUGAAAUGAUUUAAAUCCUAAUGGCGGUAGUACAAUUUCCAUGCCCUUGAAACACGGAUCCUCGCCGUCCCCGGGUAGCCACGGAAUAAUUACGCUGCUCACGGACAACCGUCUCGAAUCGUUCUUGCAGUCAUCAGUCUCUUUCGCGGAGCAAACAUUAAGCGGCAACCGCUCCGCCAAAUCGUUCGCACCUACGAAUUUCAUUUGCCUUGGCCAAUGAAAUCAACUCCCUCGCGUAUUCCAUCUCCAACUAUCUCCAAGCCCUACCUUUCAACAUUCCAUUUCUAUUUCUAUUCUAUUAAAAAAUAUAUAU